GGCCCUGUCUGAGAGUUGGAGAAAAGAGAAAAAGACAUUGAUUCUCACUGUAACCACAACUAAAAUGAUGACAACAAAAUAACUUUGAAUGAUCCCAUGUGACUGAGGCACCAUCUUUUGAAAAAGCUUCUGUUGCAAAGUUUAUCAUGUGACAUGUCCGGAGUCAGGCAUGGUAGAUGUGAACUCUAGUUAUAACUUCAUGAACUGGUUUCUUUGCAGUAUAUGAUCUUGGACAAGUCAUCUACCCUUUCAAACCUCAGUUUUUCCAUCUGCAAAAUGGAGGACGCUACCUCUAAAUUCUGCAUUAUGCCUUGAUAUUUGUUGCUUUAUAAAUUUUUAAGUAGUUCAAUAAUGAGUGGAUUUGAGGACUCCUACUUCCAAUCAAGACCGAGUAAUAAGAACUGGAUUUACCUUCUCACUUGAAAUAACUGAAAAACUGGACAAUAAAAUGACAACAUUCAAAAUAUUGGACAUUGGGCAACCAAGGCCAGCAGUCCCCAAUAGAUA